GGAAAAGAAACCAACAGGGAUUGCCUUAGUAGCGGCGAGCGAAGCGGCAACAGCUCAAAUUUGAAAUCUGGCUACUUUGUAGUCCGAGUUGUAAUUUGCAGAGGAUGCUUUUGGUGAGGUGCCUUCCGAGUUCCCUGGAACGGGACGCCAGAGAGGGUGAGAGCCCCGUACGGUUGGACACCAAACCUUUGUAUAGCUCCUUCAACGAGUCGAGUAGUUUGGGAAUGCUGCUCUAAAUGGGAGGUAUAUCUCUUCUAAAGCUAAAUACCGGCUAGAGACCGAUAGCGCACAAGUAGAGUGAUCGAAAGAUGAAAAGCACUUUGAAAAGAGAGUUAAACAGCACGUGAAAUUGUUGAAAGGGAAGCGCCUAUGACCAGACUUGUUUCUGUCAGUUUUGCUUGUUUUCGGACUUGUUUACUCUGUCAGUACAGGCCAACAUCAGUUUGUUGUUUGGGAGAAAGGCUUAGGGAAUGUGGCUCCCUCGGGAGUGUUAUAGCCCUUUGCAUAAUACCAUUCGGCAGACUGAGGACCGCGCUUCGGCAAGGAUGUUGGCGUAAUGGUCAUCAGCGACCCGUCUUGAAACACGGACCAAGGAGUCAACCUUAUGUGCGAGUGUUUGGGUGUAAAACCCCAGCGCGUAAUGAACGUGAACGUAGGUGAGAGCUUCGGCGCAUCAUCGACCGAUUCUGAUGUUCUCGGAUGGAUUUGAGUAAGAGCAUAUAGGGUUGGACCCGAAAGAAGGUGAACUAUGCUUGUAUAGGGUGAAGCCAGAGGAAACUCUGGUGGAGGCUCGCAGCGGUUCUGACGUGCAAAUCGAUCGUCAAAUAUGAGCAUGGGGGCGAAAGACUAAUCGAACCUUCUAGUAGCUGGUUCCAGCCGAAGUUUCCCUCAGGAUAGCAGUGUUGAACUUCAGUUUUAUGAGGUAAAGCGAAUGAUUAGGGACUCGGGGGCGCUAUAUUGCCUUCAUCCAUUCUCAAACUUUAAAUAUGUAAGAAGCCCUUGUUACUUAAUUGAACGUGGGCAUUCGAAUGUAUCAACA
rnacentral:rRNA from 1 species